rnacentral:lncRNA from 1 species
CAAGGAGUAGAGGAAGAGGAAGGACUAACGCAGAGGCACUCAAGGUCUCACUAUGACUGUAGUUGAGAGUCCUCUCCCUUCUUCCCUAACCCUUUCCCCAUUUCUCUCACCACUUCUUUGCCAGUCUAGAUCCGUCCUGGUGCCUUACUGUGCAUACAGUUCUACUCGUCUCAGAAACGUAUGUCAAACGAGGAUACAGUGUCUGGAACUAUUGGUUCUAAGAUAUAAGUGGAAUGAGCCUGGAUCAGGAGAAGUAUGCUGAGCUAGAGUUGAAGGAAGCUUCUCUUUCUAACAAGAGAAAGCAGAGUUAAAUUAUGGCAGAGACAAGUCUGUUAGAGGCUGGGGCCUCUGCAGCCUCUACAGCUGCGGCUUUGGAGAACUUACAGGUGGAGGCGAGCUGCUCUGUGUGCCUGGAGUAUCUGAAGGAACCUGUCAUCAUUGAGUGUGGGCACAACUUCU